ensembl:lncRNA
GUAAGUGCAAGAGUGAUGUCCUUAACUAAGGAAGAAGGAUAAGAGCCAGAGCAUAAGUGAAGGGGUUAGUAGUAGUAGUGUUAGUCGCUAGUCGUGUCGGGCUCUUUGCAACCCCACAGACUGUAGCCCGUCAGCCUCCUCAGUCCACGGAAUUCUCCAGGCAAGAAUACUGGAGUGGGUUGCCAUUCCCUUCUCCAGGGGAUCUUCCCAACCCAGGGAUCCAACCCAGGUCUCCUACGUCUCCUGCAUAGCAGGCAGAUUCUUCACCAUCUGAGCUACAGAGAAGUCCCUAAGUGAAGGGGUUGGUCACGGGUAAAAGCCAGGACCCCACAUCCAUCAUAAUAGGCAUGGAGGUGAUGUGUGCGGGUUGGUAGAUGUGCUAGAGAGAGUGUCACUUCCAAUGGCUCUGUUUUCUGAGGCAAGCUCUCCUUCAGUCUGCCAAGGGUAAGUUUCUGGACUUGAUCUCAAAUAUUAAGAAAUGCCCAUGGAAUGGAAUCUGGGAAUGGAAUGCUCUCAGGCAAGAAACAACUACAGCUGUCCCUCUGUAUCCACAGGGAUUGGUUCCAGGACCUCCCAGGGAUACCAAAAUCCAUGGACGUUCAAGUCCCUUGCAUAAAACAGCAAAGAAUUUGCAUAUGACCUACACACAUCCUCCCAUUUACUUUAAAUCAUCUCUAGAUUACUUAAAAAUACCCAAUAAAUGCUAUGUGAAUAGCUGCCAGCAAGUGGCAAUUCAAGCUUUGCUUUUUGGAAUUUUCUGGAAAAAAAUUUUUUUUUCAGAAUAUCUUUCAUUCACUGUUGGUUGAAUCCAUGGAUGCAGAACCCACAGAUAAGAAAGGUGACUGGAGAGGUCUUUUUCUGUACUCAAUAAAUGGUCUUCAUAUUUCUUAUUUUGUGAUUAUCCCCACUCAUUCAAGAGAAGGAGAAAAAAUCUGCAAGUGUCUAUUUAAAGGAAAAAAUGGUAUGAGAGAGAGGAAGUAAAGAGCAACUUGGCAACGAAUCUACUGUUUUUAAACAAGUCAAUAUUAAACAAACACAUCAAUUUUUACUCUAUUUUUCUCUUUGUAUACAAUUUUCAAUUAAUCUAUACCUGCCUUUCCAAUGUGU